rnacentral:rRNA from 1 species
UGGGGAAUAUUGCACAAUGGGCGCAAGCCUGAUGCAGCCAUGCCGCGUGUAUGAAGAAGGCCUUCGGGUUGUAAAGUACUUUCAGUCGGGAGGAAGGUGUCAAGGUUAAUAACCUUGGCAAUUGACGUUACCGACAGAAGAAGCACCGGCUAACUCCGUGCCAGCAGCCGCGGUAAUACGGAGGGUGCAAGCGUUAAUCGGAAUUACUGGGCGUAAAGCGCACGCAGGCGGUUGAUUGAGUCAGAUGUGAAAUCCCCGGGCUUAACCCGGGGAUUGCAUCUGAUACUGGUGAGCUGGAGUCUUGGGGAGGGGGGUAGAAUUCCAUGUGUAGCGGUGAAAUGCGUAGAGAUGUGGAGGAAUGCCGGUGGCGAGGGCGGCCCCCUGGACAAAGGCUGACGCUCAGGUGCGAAAGCGUGGGGAGCAAACAGG